GUUCAUCAGCGAUUCCAACUUCAGUCUUUUCUUUGACCUCCUCCAGCAAGAAAUCGAAGUUCAGUCCACCAACUACACACAGGAGAUAAAGUCGGCCUUCCUGCAGGGUGUUUUUAAAUGAGGAGUUCUCAGAAAUGCCAGUGAUGAAGAGUUCCUGCUGUGGCUGAAGAUCCGACUGAAGCCGUUCCUGGUUGACCUCUCUCCCAAUCUGGUGACCUCCUUGUUUUCAUCGGGGGAAGAACGGAGAUGUAACAUCACUCAGGAGAUGAUCAAACUGCUUGAUUCUCAACAGACGACCUUCAGCAGCAACACAACAACUGAGAUCUAUGAGAACAUUGUCCGACUCCU